AUUUCGCGUCAUCCCGGCGGAGGCCGGGAUCGCUGGUUUGAGGCAAACGUUCCGCGUAAAACACGGCGGCCCCGGCCUUCGCCGGGGUGACGGCUAGG
rnacentral:pre_miRNA from 1 species